AUGGGGAAAGAAAACUGCUGCCCCCAAGGGAACGUGGGCGACCACCGCGAAGGAGGUGGUCGUGGAGGGGAGCAAGAAGAGAGCUGCAGAGCUAGACAAGAAGCAAAGGGGAGACGUAGUCUUCUUCCCAUCGAAUCUGGACGGCGACGCAUUGGUUGCAAGGUAUGGAUAUUUGUGGGGGAGGGAGGUUCCAAAGGGGCAUGGCGCAUGGCGCAACAAGGUCCUGGUGGAGGGAAAAAAGGAUCCGUCGGAUUCGUACCAAUUCUUUUGUGCAUAGUUCAUCUGCGACCUCUGUCCCUCCUUUUCGGAUUUGUUCGAAGCGAUGAUGGUGAUCUAUGGAUUCCACCUCCUGGACUUCAUGCUGAAUGCAAUGGCGUGCAUGGCGAUUUUCGCCCACUUGUGCGAGAAUUUUGUUGGAGUUUCCCCCAAUGUAGACCUGUUCAGGCACUACUUCGUUCCACGGGUGGAGAACAAAGCUCACCGCUCCGGAAAUAUAAGUUGGAUGCCUCGGGUGGCAAGGGAAAAUUGGGAUUAUCUCUUUGGCCAGCAGUGCGGCAGAUGAGAGGAGUGGAGGGCGGAUUGGUGCUGGAUCCAGGACGAUGA
rnacentral:rRNA from 1 species